rnacentral:rRNA from 1 species
CCUUAGAGUUUGAUCCUGGCUCAGGACGAACGCUGGCCGGCAUGCCUAACACAUGCAAGUCGAACGGAGUUUAAGAAGCUUGCUUUUUAAACUUAGUGGCGGACGGGUGAGUAACGCGUGAGCAACCUGCCUCUCAGUGGGGAAUAAUGUACUGAAAAGGACACUAAUACCGCAUGACGUAUUUUAGCCGCAUGACUGAGAUACCAAAGAUUUAUCGCUGAGAGAUGGGCUCGCGUCCGAUUAGCUGGUUGGUGAGGUAACGGCUCACCAAGGCGACGAUCGGUAGCCGGACUGAGAGGUUGAACGGCCACAUUGGGACUGAGACACGGCCCAGACUCCUACGGGAGGCAGCAGUGGGGGAUAUUGCGCAAUGGGGGAAACCCUGACGCAGCAAUGCCGCGUGGAGGAUUGAAGGUCUUCGGAUUGUAAACUCCUUUUGUCAGGGAAGAUAAUGACGGUACCUGACGAAUAAGCUCCGGCUAACUACGUGCCAGCAGCCGCGGUAAUACGUAGGGAGCAAGCGUUGUCCGGAUUUACUGGGUGUAAAGGGUGCGUAGGCGGCUUUGCAAGUCAGCUGUGAAAUCUGUGGGCUCAACCCACAAAUUGCAGUUGAAACUGUAGAGCUUGAGUGCAGGAGAGGUUAUCGGAAUUCCCAGUGUAGCGGUGAAAUGCGUAGAGAUUGGGAGGAACACCAGCGGCGAAGGCGGGUAACUGGACUGCAACUGACGCUGAGGCGCGAAAGUGUGGGGAGCAAACAGGAUUAGAUACCCUGGUAGUCCACACUGUAAACGAUGAAUGCUAGGUGUAAGAGGUAUCGACCCCUUUUGUGCCGCAGUCAACACAAUAAGCAUUCCGCCUGGGGAGUACGGCCGCAAGGUUGAAACUCAAAGGAAUUGACGGGGGCCCGCACAAGCGGAGGAACAUGUGGUUUAAUUCGAUGAUACGCGAGGAACCUUACCCGGGCUUGAAUUGCAUGGGGCGUGGUCAGAGACGGCCAUUUCUUCGGACCCAUGUGAAGGUGCUGCAUGGUUGUCGUCAGCUCGUGCCGUGAGGUGUCGGCUUAAGUGCCAUAACGAGCGCAACCCUUCUCUUCGGUUGCCAUCGGGUAAUGCCGGGCACUCCGGAGACACUGCCAUCGCAAGAUGUGAGGAAGGUGGGGAUGACGUCAAAUCAGCACGGCCCUUACGUCCGGGGCUACACACGUGUUACAAUGGGAGGUACAGAAGGCCGCUACCUGGUGACAGGAUGCCAAUCCCGAAAGCCUCUCCCAGUUCGGAUCGGAGUCUGCAACCCGACUCCGUGAAGCUGGAUUCGCUAGUAAUCGCGCAUCAGCCAUGGCGCGGUGAAUACGUUCCCGGGCCUUGUACACACCGCCCGUCA